GACGAACGCUGGCGGCGUGCCUAACACAUGCAAGUCGAGGGUUUUAGUAGUAAUACGAAGAACACUGGCGCACGGGUGAGUAACGCGUAGAUCAUCUGCCCCUAACACUGACAUAACAGUUCUAACGGACUGCUAAUAUCAGAUGUGAUAAGCAAUUAUUAAAGGGUAACCGGUUAGGGAUGAGUCUGCGUCUGAUUAGGUAGUUGGUGAGGUAACGGCUCACCAAGCCUACGAUCAGUAACUGGUCUGAGAGGACGAACAGUCACACUGGAACUGAGACACGGUCCAGACUCCUACGGGAGGCAGCAGUGAGGAAUAUUGCACAAUGGGAGAAAUACCUGAUGCAGCGACGCCGCGUGUGGG
rnacentral:rRNA from 1 species